UUUGUUAAAAUCGAAAUACGAAUAUAUCUUUUAACUUCCAAUUGAAAAAGAAUUUCAGAAACAAUUUAGUAAGAAAAUGUUGAAACACUGAAAUUGAGAAACUCUGAACGGUAAUGCGAGCGUAACAAAAUGAUUCAACAGACCAACUUUUCCUCAAACAUUGUUUGUCACAAUUCGAUUUGUGAUUCAAUGAUCGUUAAGCCCAAUACAUAAUCGCGAUGGUGUUGCAACGGAAGAGUUCGUGUUUCGUGCACGUGUUUAGAAUACGUUAUAAUUCGAUACUGGUACACGUUGAGAAAUCUUCAUUUGUAUAUUACG